UACGUAGGGGGCAAGCGUUGUCCGGAUUUAUUGGGCGUAAAGAGCGUGUAGGCGGCUUUACAGGUCCGUUGUGAAAACUCGAGGCUCAACCUCGAGACGCCGGUGGAAACCGUAAAGCUAGAGUCCGGAAGAGGAGAGUGGAAUUCCUGGUGUAGCGGUGGAAUGCGCAGAUAUCAGGAGGAACGCCAAUAGCGAAGGCAGCUCGCUGGGACGUUACUGACACUGAGGCGCGAAAGCGUGGGGAGCGAACAGG
rnacentral:rRNA from 1 species